GAUGAAGAACGCAGCGAAAUGCGAUACGUAAUGUGAAUUGCAAAUUCAGUGAAUCAUCGAGUCUUUGAACGCACAUUGCGCCCCCUGGUAUUCCGGGGGGCAUGCCUGUCCGAGCGUCAUUGCUGCCCUCAAGCACGGCUUGUGUGUUGGGCCCCGUCCUCCGAUCCCGGGGGACGGGCCCGAAAGGCAGCGGCGGCACCGCGUCCGGUCCUCGAGCGUAUGGGGCUUUGUCACCCGCUCUGUAGGCCCGGCCGGCGCUUGCCGAUCAACCCAAAUUUUUUAUCCAGGUUGACCUCGGAUCAGGUAGGGAUACCCGCUGAACUUUAGCAUAUCAAUAAGCGGAGGA
rnacentral:misc_RNA from 1 species